GGUGAGUAACACGUGGGUGAUCUGCCCUGCACUUCGGGAUAAGCCUGGGAAACUGGGUCUAAUACCGGAUAUGACCUCCUAUCGCAUGGUGGGUGGUGGAAAGAUUUAUCGGUGCAGGAUGGGCCCGCGGCCUAUCAGCUUGUUGGUGGGGUAAUGGCCUACCAAGGCGACGACGGGUAGCCGACCUGAGAGGGUGACCGGCCACACUGGGACUGAGACACGGCCCAGACUCCUACGGGAGGCAGCAGUGGGGAAUAUUGCACAAUGGGCGAAAGCCUGAUGCAGCGACGCCGCGUGAGGGAUGACGGCCUUCGGGUUGUAAACCUCUUUCAGCAGGGACGAAGCGCAAGUGACGGUACCUGCAGAAGAAGCACCGGCUAACUACGUGCCAGCAGCCGCGGUAAUACGUAGGGUGCAAGCGUUGUCCGGAAUUACUGGGCGUAAAGAGUUCGUAGGCGGUUUGUCGCGUCGUUUGUGAAAACCAGCAGCUCAACUGCUGGCUUGCAGGCGAUACGGGCAGACUUGAGUACUGCAGGGGAGACUGGAAUUCCUGGUGUAGCGGUGAAAUGCGCAGAUAUCAGGAGGAACACCGGUGGCGAAGGCGGGUCUCUGGGCAGUAACUGACGCUGAGGAACGAAAGCGUGGGUAGCGAACAGGAUUAGAUACCCUGGUAGUCCACGCCGUAAACGGUGGGCGCUAGGUGUGGGUUCCUUCCACGGAAUCCGUGCCG
rnacentral:rRNA from 1 species